CCUACGUGAGGCAGCAGUGAGGAAUAUUGGUCAAUGGGCGCGAGCCUGAACCAGCCAAGUCGCGUGAGGGAUGACGGCCCUACGGGUUGUAAACCUCUUUUGCCGGGGAGCAACGGGCGCCACGUGUGGCGCCACUGAGAGUACCCGGCGAAAAAGCAUCGGCUAACUCCGUGCCAGCAGCCGCGGUCAUACUGAGGAUGCGAGCGUUAUCCGGAUUUAUUGGGUUUAAAGGGUGCGUAGGCGGAUCGUUAAGUCAGUGAGCAAAUUGCGGGGCUCAACCCCUUCCCGCCAUUGAAACUGGCGCUCUUGAGUGGAAGAGAAGUAUGCGGAAUGCGUGGUGUAGCGGUGAAAUGCAUAGAGAUCACGCAGAACCCCGAUUGCGAAGGCAGCAUGCCGGCUUCCGACUGACGCUGAAGCACGAAAGCGUGGGGAUCGAACAGGAUUAGAUACCCCAGUAGUC
rnacentral:rRNA from 1 species